rnacentral:lncRNA from 1 species
AUGAAACCUCGGGCGCUCGUGAUUGUUUGAAAGAAGUUGCUGGAAAUGACUUAUGGAUCCGUCGUCUUUGUUUGCCUGUGGACACGAUGAUUGAUUAAUGCAUUAGAUGAAGCAAGAUUUAAAAAGAAAAAAAAGAAAAUCACAAAUGGAGGCACUGACACUGUCUGUUGCUCCUCAGGGAAGUACGGACGUCACGCCGGCCUGCCGUUCCUCAGACCUCCUCUCACCACCGCUCUGCUCACACUGGGGAAAGCGCACCAGGUCACAACCGCAGCAUCAGCAUCUUGUGUGGGAAUAUCUUUGUGUGUGUGUGUAUGUGAACAAGUGUGUCACUGUUUCUUCUCCUUCUCUCCUUUACGUUGCAGAAUGCUAUGCUUGGUAAUGGACUCGUGCUUCAGAACCUGUUGCACAUGCAGCUCGCACAGCAACAGCUUCUUCACAUCAAAGACAAACGCAUCAGCAGCGUCUCCAGUCUGCUCGGGGACCCGUCCAGGCUGCUGAUGCAAAAAGCGUUGUCCCUGCGGCCUCCGGGCCUCGUGCCACUGGGCAAAGGCCUCCUGGGAGACUCCCCGACAGAGUUGAGCCAGGAGCCCCCAACCACCCACAAUGCCGCCGUGGUGGUGUCAGCAGCGGGUAUGAUGCCGUACCUCCAGGCCCGAGCUGGAGCGGGAGAACAAAACAGCAUCCAUUCCAUGUCCACAGCCCACUCUGCGUCCUCCUCCUCCUCCUCCUCCUCCUGCUCCUCCUCCACCUCCUUUGACAGACAGCCUGCUCCCCCUGGGACCAUGGUGAGCUCCCAGCUGCAGGGACAGAGCUACUCCUUGGGAAUGAGUAACUCAGGCCUCGGCCCACCUCCGCCCAAGGCCCCCGGGGGAGUGUAUACGUCAGCGGGCCAGCACAACGGUGCAGACGGAUGCUCCCUGGCUGGCAUGGUCGGCGGUGGUCAGAGUUCUCUGCUGGGCGAUCCUCCUAAAGAGGUCCGCAUGCCCUCCAAUCCUUACCUGAACCUGGCCAGUGUGAUGCCGGGCGUGGUCCUGCAAGGUAAACACACAAAGUCCCACAGGUUCUUCUACUAGUACUAUCGUCCAUCGUUCUCUUAGUGUCGGCCAUUGAUGCAUAGACAAUAAAGAGAUCUGUGGCUGCCGGAGUCCGAACUCUCCUGGAGGAGCUGUAUUGGUAGAAAAAAUGUUCCAGCGCACAUUUUUUCCAGAACUUUUCCUGCCAGGCCCCUUUGAAAACAUUUUUGGGGGAAAUGUCCCGGUGAGGUCAUGUGUGAAUACAGCAGCGGGUGGUCACUCGCUGCCACCCCUCCGAUGGAAGGGGGCUUUUGGAAGUGUUCCUGCUGGUGUGAGCUCUUCUUACUGGGACAAAUCUCCAAUUGUCUGGAGUUCAUGACUGAAAAUUACGACGGCGUAUUAGGCCCAUUGUCGGAAAAAGAACCUUUUU